UGGGGAAUCUUAGACAAUGGGGGCAACCCUGAUCUAGCCAUGCCGCGUGAGUGAUGAAGGCCUUAGGGUUGUAAAGCUCUUUCAGCUGGGAAGAUAAUGACGGUACCAGCAGAAGAAGCCCCGGCUAACUCCGUGCCAGCAGCCGCGGUAAUACGGAGGGGGCUAGCGUUGUUCGGAAUUACUGGGCGUAAAGCGCACGUAGGCGGACCGGAAAGUUGGGGGUGAAAUCCCGGGGCUCAACCUCGGAACUGCCUUCAAAACUAUCAGUCUGGAGUUCGAGAGAGGUGAGUGGAAGUCCGAGUGUAGAGGUGAAAUUCGUAGAUAUUCGGAGGAACACCAGUGGCGAAGGCGGCUCACUGGCUCGAUACUGACGCUGAGGUGCGAAAGCGUGGGGAGCAAACA
rnacentral:rRNA from 1 species